AAUGAACGCUGGCGGCAUGCCUAACACAUGCAAGUCGAACGAAGGCUUCGGCCUUAGUGGCGCACGGGUGCGUAACGCGUGGGAAUCUGCCCCUUGGUUCGGAAUAACAGUUGGAAACGACUGCUAAUACCGGAUGAUGACGUAAGUCCAAAGAUUUAUCGCCGAGGGAUGAGCCCGCGUAGGAUUAGCUAGUUGGUGUGGUAAAGGCGCACCAAGGCGACGAUCCUUAGCUGGUCUGAGAGGAUGAUCAGCCACACUGGGACUGAGACACGGCCCAGACUCCUACGGGAGGCAGCAGUGGGGAAUAUUGGACAAUGGGCGAAAGCCUGAUCCAGCAAUGCCGCGUGAGUGAUGAAGGCCUUAGGGUUGUAAAGCUCUUUUACCCGGGAUGAUAAUGACAGUACCGGGAGAAUAAGCUCCGGCUAACUCCGUGCCAGCCGCCGCAGUAA
rnacentral:rRNA from 1 species